rnacentral:rRNA from 1 species
CCUACGGGUGGCAGCAGUGGGGAAUAUUGCACAAUGGGGGAAACCCUGAUGCAGCGACGCCGCGUGAGUGAAGAAGUAGUUCGGUAUGUAAAGCUCUAUCAGCAGGGAAGAAAAAACACGGUACCUGACUAAGAGGCCCCGGCUAACUACGUGCCAGCAGCCGCGGUAAUACGGAGGGGGCAAGCGUUAUCCGGAUUUACUGGGUGUAAAGGGAGCGUAUACGGCGCGGCAAGUCUUAAGUGAAAGGCAGGGGCUUAACCCCCGCACUGCUUUGGAAACUGCCAUGCUAGAGGGCUGGAGAGGUAAGUGGAAUGCGUAGUGUAGCGGGGAAAUGCGGAGAUAUUACGAGGAACACCAGUGGGGAAGGCG